UGAAUCGGCUUGUAAGCUCGCGCGAGCGUAGGGUCACGUGAUUUUCCGUGAUGGAACAGUACAAAGACCGUUUCUCAAUGCAGCCUCCGGAGGUCGCAUAUGCAGGCUGCAUACGUCUUCAAGCCUGGUUUGUUUAAGUUAACUGAGCAUUACAUUCGUAAGUCAUAAGCAUAUUACAACAAUUUACGAUUAACUUAAAAUAAUAGUCAUCUUUAGAAUUGUUAAUAUUCUGAAUUAAGUCUUUAUGACGUAUGCAUCCUACAAAUGCGACCUCCGUACAAGAGCUGACUGACACGCAUCCAUAUCUACGCAUGUGCAAUGCUUUUCGACUUUCCCGCCCAUAUAGUCAUCUUUAUGGAUUUGUCUGCACACAACGGAAUAUGUUCCAAGGUAAAGUAUUACUUUAUCAACUUGUGAUUUACUUGUUAACUUGUAUAUUAUCAUAAACAACUUAUAUUUACUUUAUAUUAAACCGUUUGUGUGUGUGAACAUUAAUUUGCUGGAGCAUUUGCACUGCACAUUUCACUAUUAAAGAGGAAUAUGAAUAUUUCUUAUUUAACAAAAAAUAUCAACGUUAAGUAAAUAUCUUUUAACAUAAAAACACGAAGUAUAGAUAAAUUGUAGCAUACGUGUAAGUUGAUAUUAAGGUAACUGUCUGUGUUUUUACCUCAGGUAAACUCAGCAAGCUUUCUAAGUUACUUCAGAUGCUGGCGAUAAGUCUUGAGGUCUGAACAAUUUUACAGGUAAAACUGAGUUACAUUUUAAAAUAUGCUUUAACUUUUAGUGAAUUACAAGACUGCCAUGGUAAUGUUUAUUUUGACCCUCAAAUUCAUAGGACACCACCAUGGCUGAAAGCAAAGCGGCUCAAUUCUUUAAUGGAGGACAGCAGAGAUGUUGCACAGUAAGGGCAAGAACACAGUACAAAGACACAAGAAAUCCUCGACCCUGAGGACAAUGAGACAAACAGACCCAGUUCCUGCUGCUGUGAAGGUCAUCACACCACUGAUCUACUGACCGUCCUUCUACGAGAUGCCCGGCCAAUGCCUGACCAGCAACCACCGGCGGAACCAGUUUAAUUCGCUUACCCAUUCACAUACCCCGAUAGUAUUUAUAUAUAUAAAUAAAUAUGUAUCUCUCUCAAGGGUUUUUCCCUGGACUAGCCAGGAGGGUUUUUCUCCUAGGGGUUUUUUCAUCCCCUGGUGAGUCCACCACCUUUGGCUUAACCUACUACUUUACUGUAUAUGUUACAUUAUUACUAUGCUCGCUUUUCUAUGCUUUUUUUACAUUUAUUAAUGUAAAGCUGCUUUGAAACAAUUGGCAAUUGUCAAAAGCGCUACAUAAAUAAAAUUGAAUUCAAUAUUUAAUGUUAUAUUUAAUUAGACUCAGUGUAUAUUU